UUUUCCUCUCUGGGUGAAGCACAAGCUAUCCGUGUCCUUGAGCAAACACUCUGUACUUGCUCUUUCGUCUUUUUGCCGUACGUCAAAGAAAGCUUCCCCAAAGCAAGCAAACUCCGCCUCAUUCCGCUGCUAGCUGGACCAGGUGACCCCGCAGACACGGAUGGAGUGUUCAAAGUGCUUCCCGCGGCUGUUUUUAUUGGCCUGCGGCACAUUUAAAACAGGAAAAAAAUGGAAAAAUUAGCCAGUAAUUUUACAAGAAUGACAUCAAAAUAUUAAGAGGAGAAAGUUGUAAUCCAACGAGAAAAAGUCAUCAUUUCAACUCUUUCAUUCCAGACGUUUUUCAAAAUUCAACCCCUUCAGUAGCGGACAUUUUAGACGAUUUUGACUGAUCUUUCAAGGCGCGCAGGAUGUUGUGUUGGAUGGCUAUAGAAACAUGGAACCUACCAAAAGACACAUUAGAUGCCCGUCUUUCAUCAGGAAGAAAAAGUUUGUUUCUGCCUUUUUGUGUUCUUUAGUAACCAGCAGUAGAACAUAGGUAAG